rnacentral:SRP_RNA from 1 species
GCUGGGUGUGGUGGUGCACACCUGUAGUCCCAGCUACUCAGGAGGCAGAGGCAGGAGGACCACUUGAGCUCAGGAGGUCAAGGCUGCAGUGAGCUAUGAUCACAUGACUGCACUCCAGCCUGGGUGACACAGUGAUAUCUUGCAUCUU